GGAAACCCGCUCGGGUCUCCUUCCACGCUGUGGAAGCUGUGUUCUUUUGCUCUUUGCAAUAAAUCUUGCUACUGUUCACUCUUUGGGUCCAUGCUGCUUUUAUGAGCUGUAACACUCACAGGGAAAAUCUGUAGCUUCACUCCCGAACCCAGCGAGACCACGAGCCCACCGGGAGGAAAGAACAACUCCAGACGUGCUGUCUUAAGAGCUGUAACACUCACCGCGAAGGUUUGCCGUUUCACUCCUGAGCCAACAAGACCACAAACCCACCAGAAGAAAGAAACUCUGAACACAUCUGAACAUCAGAAGGAACAGACUCCAGACGCGCCACCUUAAGAGCUGUAACACUCACCGCGAGGGUCCGCGGCUUCAUUCUUGAAGUCAGUGAGACCAAGAACCCACCAAUUCCGGACACAGAAUUUCGUGUAGCCUGGAGCCCAGGCAAGCAGUGAAAGCCGUCUAGAGAUGGAGGAGCAAAGCGAAUACACAGGAAAAGGGUGAAUCCAAUGCAGGCUGAUUUCUGGCUUACAUCACAGUCCAGUCUGAUUUUCUGCAGAUUACUUUCUACAAGACGAUUUGGGGACCUCAGUUUACCACCUCCCAGCGGACCGACGGGUGCGAUAUCCACAACCCGCUGGCCCCCAAGCCCAGAGAGAAACCCCAAGGACACACUGAGUGUGAGAGUUUUUUAUUCAAUUUGUGAAGGACAGUUUUAGAACAAAAUGUUAGUAACACUC